UACAGAGGUCCCAAGCGUUGUUCGGAUUCAUUGGGCGUAAAGGGUGCGUAGGCGGCGCGGUAAGUCGGGUGUGAAAGCCCCGGGCUCAACCUGGGAAUUGCAUUCGAGACUGCAUUGCUGGAGUACGGAAGAGGAGGGCGGAAUUCCCGGUGUAGCGGUGAAAUGCGUAGAUAUCGGGAGGAACAUCAGUGGCGAAGGCGGCCCUCUGGUCCAGUACUGACACUCAAGUGCGAAAGCGUGGGGAGCAAACAGG
rnacentral:rRNA from 1 species